GGUUUGAUCAUGGCUCAGAUUGAACGCUGGCGGGAUGCUUUACACAUGCAAGUCGAACGGCAGCACGGACUUCGGUCUGGUGGCGAGUGGCGAACGGUGAGUAAUGUAUCGGAACGUGCCUAGUAGCGGGGGAUAACUACGCGAAAGCGGCUAAUACUGCAUACGCCCUUCGGGGGAAAGCGGGGGACCUUCGGGCCUCGCACUAUUAGAGCGGCUGAGUAUCGGAUUAGCUAGUUGGUGGGGUAACGGCUCACCAAGGCGACGAUCCGUAGCUGGUUUGAGAGGACGACCAGCCACACUGGGACUGAGACACGGCCCAGACUCCUACGGGAGGCAGCAGUGGGGAAUUUUGGACAAUGGGGGAAACCCCUCGAUCCAGCCAUCCCGCGUGUGCGAUGAAGGCCUUCGGGUUGUAAAGCACUUUUGGCAGGAAGAAACGGCACGGGAUAAUACCCCGUGCAACUGACGGUACCUGCAGAAUAAGCACCGGCUAACUACGUGCCAGCAGUCGCGGUAAUACGUAGGGUGCAAGCGUUAAUCGGAAUUACUGGGCGUAAAAGCGUGCGCAGGCGGUUCGGAAAGAAAGAUGUGAAAUCCCAGAGCUUAACUUUGGAACUGCAUUUUUAACUACCGGAGCUAGAGUGUGUCAGAGGGAGGUGGAAUUCCGCGUGUAGCAGUGAAAUGCGUAGAUAUGCGGAGGAACACCGAUGGCGAAGGCAGCUUCCUGGAUAACACUGAUGCUCAUGCACGAAAGCGUGGGGAGCAAACAGGAUUAGAUACCCUGGUGUCCACGCCCUAAACGAUGUCAACUAGCUGUUGGGGCCUUCGGGCCUUGGUAGCGCAGCUAACGCGUGAAGUUGACCGCCUGGGGAGUACGGUCGCAAGAUUAAAACUCAAAGGAAUUGACGGGACCCGCACAAGCGGUGGAUGAUGAUUAAUUCGAUGCAACGCGAAAAACCUUACCUACCCUUGACAUGUCUGGAAUCCCGAAGAGAUUUGGGGAGUGCUCGCAAGAGAACCGGAACACAGGUGCUGCAUGGCUGUCGUCAGCUCGUGUCGUGAGAUGUUGGGUUGUCUCGCAACGAGCGCAACCCUUGUCAUUAGUUGCUACGAAAGGGCACUCUAAUGAGACUGCCGGUGACAAACCGAGGAAGGUGGGGAUGACGUCAAGUCCUCAUGGCCCUUAUGGGUAGGGCUUCACACGUCAUACAAUGGUCGGGACAGAGGGUCGCCAACCCGCGAGGGGGAGCCAAUCCCAGAAACCCGAUCGUAGUCCGGAUCGCAGUCUGCAACUCGACUGCGUGAAGUCGGAAUCGCUAUAAUCGCGGAUCAGCAUGUCGCGGUGAAUACGUUCCCGGGUCUUGUACACACCGCCCGUCACACCAUGGAGUGGGUUUUACCAGAAGUAGUUAGCCUAACCGUAAGGAGGGCGAUUACCACGGUAGGAUUCAUGACUGGGGUGAAGUCGUAACAAGGUAA
rnacentral:rRNA from 1 species